rnacentral:rRNA from 1 species
AGGGGGUUUGGUAUCAUGGCUCAGAAUGAACGCUGGCGGCGUGCCUAACACAUGCAAGUCGAGCGCGAAAGCGGCUUCGGCCGUGAGUAGAGCGGCGAACGGGUGAGUAACACGUGGAUAACCUGCCUGGAAGCGGGGGAUAACUUGGGGAAACCCGAGCUAAUACCGCAUGUGCACGCACCGCUCAAGCGGUGCGUGGAAAGACGGCCUCUUCUUGAAAGCCGUCACUUCCAGAGGGGUCCGCGGCUGAUUAGCUAGUUGGUGGGGUAACGGCCCACCAAGGCUGCGAUCAGUAGCCGGCCUGAGAGGGUGAUCGGCCACACUGGAACUGAAACACGGUCCAGACUCCUACGGGAGGCAGCAGUGGGGAAUAUUGGACAAUGGGCGAAAGCCUGAUCCAGCAACGCCGCGUGNAGGAUGAAGGCCUUCGGGUUGUAAACUUCUGUCAGGUGGGACGAAAAGGUUCCGGUUAAUACCCGGGGUCCUUGACGGUACCACCGGAGGAAGCCCCGGCUAACUCCGUGCCAGCAGCCGCGGUAAUACGGAGGGGGCGAGCGUUAUUCGGAAUUAUUGGGCGUAAAGGGCGCGUAGCGGCUUG